CAGUCGCCGGGUAAUACAGAGGGUGCAAGCGUUAAUCGGAAUUACUGGGCGUAAAGCGCGCGUAGGUGGUUUGUUAAGUUGGAUGUGAAAUCCCCGGGCUCAACCUGGGAACUGCAUCCAAAACUGGCAAGCUAGAGUAUGGUAGAGGGUGGUGGAAUUUCCUGUGUAGCGGUGAAAUGCGUAGAUAUAGGAAGGAACACCAGUGGCGAAGGCGACCACCUGGACUGAUACUGACACUGAGGUGCGAAAGCGUGGGGAGCAAACAGGAUUAGAUACCCGCGUAGUCCCUGUCUCUUAUACC
rnacentral:rRNA from 1 species